UACGAAGGGGGCUAGCGUUGCUCGGAAUCACUGGGCGUAAAGGGUGCGUAGGCGGGGCUUUAAGUCAGGGGUGAAGUCCUGGAGCUCAACUCCAGAACUGCCUUUGAUACUGAAGAUCUUGAGUUCGGGAGAGGUGAGUGGAACUGCGAGUGUAGAGGUGAAAUUCGUAGAUAUUCGCAAGAACACCAGUGGCGAAGGCGGCUCACUGGCCCGAUACUGACGCUGAUGCACGAAAGCGUGGGGAGCAAACAGG
rnacentral:rRNA from 1 species